GACGAACGCUGGUGGCGUGCUUAACACAUGCAAGUCGAACGAGAAGUAGUAAACAGACGCCUCGGUGGAAGAUUACUAAUGAGAGUGGCGAACGGGAGAGUAACUCGUGAUCAACCUGCCUAUGACAGUGGGAUAGCCUCGUGAAACCGGGAUUAAUACCGCAUAAAAUCGUAGAAACACAAGUUUUAACGGUCAAAGCUUUAUCGGUCAUAGAUGGGCCCGCGUCUCAUUCGCUAGUUGGUGAGAUAACAGCCCACCAAGGCGACGAUCAGUAGCCGGUCUGAGAGGAUGAGCGCCCACAUUGAAACUGAGACACAGUCCAAACUCCUACGGGAGGCAGCAGUGGGGAAUAGUGCACCGUGGCGGAAACCCUGAUGGAGCGACGACGCGUGAACGAUGAAAGUAUUCGUAUCGUAAAGUUCUGUCCUAUGGGAAGAUAAUGACAGUACCAUAGAAGAAAGCUCCGGCUAACUACGUG
rnacentral:rRNA from 1 species